CCGGAUUGUGCUAAGAGAUACGAUGGCUUCAUUUUAGUCCACUCCAAAGUUAGCUGCUGCUCUUUGGAUGGAGUCUUACGCCCAGAGACAUGAUGAUUGAAGCUGGAGCUUUAUCCUGGAACAACCACCUGUUGGACGUAGUGAAGAUGGCUGGGUGACAAGACAAAGGGGCCUGAGCCCCUGCUGGAUAUGUCAAUCUGGAUUAUUCAGGUAUCCAGAGAGACAUUCAUGAACUCAAGCUUGAAGUUAUCCCAUUUGGGGGAGAGAAAAAGAACAGAAGAGAAAUCUGGUUGGCAUGAGGAAGUAAGGGUCAUCUGUGUGUUAUCUGUUUAUCUUCUACCUGGCCAUCUAUCUAUCAUCCGUUGUUGGAGAAAGAGCAAGUUACUACUUUUUCAUGGGGGUAAAAAAAGGAAACACUGUUCUCUACUCUUGGCGGAGCCUGGGACUACUUGUUUUAAA